rnacentral:rRNA from 1 species
GAUAAACGCUGGCGGCGUGCCUAACACAUGCAAGUCGAACGAAGUGGCGAACGGGUGAGUAACACGUGCGUAACCUGCCUUACACAAGGGGAUAGCCUUUGGAAACGAAGAAUAAUACCCUAUAGUGUAAGAUGGACUUGCGUGUGAUUAGCUAGUUGGUGAGAUAAAGGCCCACCAAGGCAACGGUCAGUAGCCGGCUUGGGAGAGCGUACGGCCAGAUUUGGACAGGGACACGGGCCAAACUCUACGGGAGGCAGCAGUGGGGAAUGUUGCACAAUGGGGGAAACCCUGAUGCCGCGACGCCGCGUGAUUUAGAAGGCCUUCGAGUAGUAAAAAUCUUUUAUAUGGGAUGCGGUACCAGAAGAAUAAGGUCCGGCUAAAUACGUGCCAGCAGCCGCGGUAAUUC